AUGAACGCUGGCGGCGCAUUUAAGACAUGCAAGUCGAACGAAAACGAACAAAUUAAGAAGAGUGGAAGAUUUAUCUGAAAUGAUUUUUAGACCGUGAGUUUUAGUGGCGGACGGGUGAGUAAUACAUAGAUAAUCUACCUUUUAGAGGGAAAUAACUAGGAGAAAUCCAAGCUAAUGUCCCAUAAGACCACAUUACCGCAUGAUAAAGAGGUCAAAGGAGAAAUCCGCUAGAAGAUGAGUCUAUGGCUGAUUAGUUAGUUGGUGGGGUAAGAGCUUACCAAGACAAUGAUCAGUAGCCGAGCUGAGAGGCUGGCCGGCCACAUUGGGACUGAGACACGGCCCAGACUCCUACGGGAGGCAGCAGUUGGGAAUAUUGGACAAUGGAGGGAACUCUGAUCCAGUGACGCCGCGUGAAGGAAGAAGGUCUUCGGAUUGUAAACUUAUUUUAUCAGGGAAGAAAUAAAUGACAGUACCUGAAGAAGAAGGACCGGCUAACUACGUGCCAGCAGCCGCGGUAAUACGUAGGGUCCGAGCGUUAUCCGGAUUUACUGGGUGUAAAGGGCGAGUAGACGGAACUGCAAGUCAGAUGUGAAAUGCUAGAGCUCAACUUUAGAACUGCAUCUGAAACUGUGGAACUAGAGUGCAGGAGAGGUAAGCGGAAUUCCUAGUGUAGCGGUGAAAUGCGUAGAUAUUAGGAGGAACACCAGUGGCGAAGGCGGCUUACUGGACUGUAACUGACGUUGAGGCGCGAAAGUGUGGGGAGCAAACAGGAUUAGAUACCCUGGUAGUCCACACUGUAAACGAUGGAUACUAGGUGUAGGCAUGAAUGUGUCUGUGCCGUCGCAAACGCAGUAAGUAUCCCACCUGGGGAGUACGGCCGCAAGGUUGAAACUCAAAGGAAUUGACGGGGGCCCGCACAAGCGGUGGAGCAUGUGGUUUAAUUCGAAGCAACGCGAAGAACCUUACCAAGUCUUGACAUCCCUUGACGAUGCUGGAAACAGUAUUUCUCUUCGGAGCAAGGAGACAGGUGGUGCAUGGUUGUCGUCAGCUCGUGUCGUGAGAUGUUGGGUUAAGUCCCGCAACGAGCGCAACCCUCGUGAUUAGUUGCCUUGAAGAAAGGAACUCUAAUCAGACUGCCGUAGUUAAUACGGAGGAAGGUGAGGAUGAUGUCAAAUCAUCACGUCCCUUAUGUCUUGGGCUACACACGUACUACAAUGGGUGUUACAAAGAGAAGCGAAACCGUAAGGUGGAGCAAAACUGAAAAAAGCAUCCCUAGUUCGGAUUGUAGGCUGCAACCCGCCUACAUGAAGCUGGAAUUGCUAGUAAUCAUAGGUCAGCAUACUAUGGUGAAUACGUUCCCGGGCCUUGUACACACCGCCCGUCACACCAUGAGAGUUGAGAAUACCCGAAGUCCAUGUAAAAGUGGCCGAAGGUAGGCUUGAUGAUUGGGGUG
rnacentral:rRNA from 1 species